AAGAAGAAGGAGAAAGAGAAGAAGGAAAAAGAGAAAGAGAAGAAACAGUAGGAGGAGGAGGAGGAGAAGAUGGAGGAGAGGACUUGAUUACCAGAGCAACAUUAAUGGGAAGCACCAAAUCUUACAUCUGCAAUGAUUCUGACCAUCUGUAUUAUUUCUGUUGCUGAGGACGAGAGAACACAUGAAUCCCCUGUGCCUCCCACUCUGCGGGUGUGAAUCAACCCAUAUUUGAAGGGGAAAAUUAAGCAGGCAAGUUUGCUGUCAUUAUAAAGGAUGAAAUUUGAGAAGUGGAAUAUUCAAGAAGCAAUCAUAAAUCCCACUAUUUAUUCUGUGUAUUGAAAAAUCUCCCAUCUUUCUUUGGUCUUAUUCUUAAUUGAAAGAGAGAACAACAUUCUCAGGGAAUGAGCAGCAUCCUGAUUGGAAAAUGCUAUUUGGGAUGGAUCAAUUUGUUUCAAUACAUUUUGCAGUCAUGCCAAACAGGGGUAUAGUAAGGAGGGAGAGAAAGCAAACCAGCUUCUGCAACUUUCUACCCUGGAGUGACUUGGACCCUCUGCCUGUCAGCCCAGAAUUUGUUCUAUUGGAAGGAAAAAUCUUGCAAGGAUUACAAAGGCUGCCCUGUGCUUGUACACUGCUAAAUCCCCACAUAUCCCCACAUGCCAUUGGAGCCCGCUGGCUGCCUGAAUCAGCCUCUCCUGUUUGCAUACAGGGGAUGGCUGGUGCAAACAAUUCAAUGGAGCAGCCAGCCUGGCACAGAUUAAUCAGGGUGUCAGUUUAGCUCGGUGCCAGUUGUUAAUCCACUGGGUUUACAUAAAACAUGGAAAAUGGGGCUUUGUUAUUUAAACAGGUCUUUCAAGCUCUGUGGACAGAGCUCUUUUUUUUUUCUCUCCUUAAAAAACAUUUUUUUUUAUUUUAUUUUAAACAUCACAGUACUACUUGUUAGGACCUUAGUAUUAUGAUGUCCCCUUCAGUGCAAGUAAGGGGAUGUGAUUAUGGUAAAUUCAUAUAAAGAUCAAAAUACUCCAUGUUCCAUCACAGUUAUAAAGUAAUCCGAAGAGCGUAACAAGGCUCAUAUAAUUGCAAAAUAACCUCAACUUUUUGUGUGUGUGUUGCCGAUCCUUUUGGCCAUCAGCUGAAAUCUAUGAAGCCUUUUUUCAGAAGAAGGAACAUUUUUAAAUGCAUAAAACAGAAAUAUAUAGGAUUAAAAAGGAAACUAAUUCUACUGAAUGAAAUCUAUCAGAGUACUAAGGAAAAAACAAAAGAAAUAAGUUAUGUCUCCCAGUUUAAGAGCCUGUGGGCUAGUGAAAGAAAUUCAUUGGGAAGUAGUUUGGGGGCUUCUUUCCAUAAGAGGUGUUGUCUUUUCGCCACAUCACAUAUUUUUCUUCUAAGUGAUUUCCCAUGAAAGGAAGACAAUACACCUUGAGUUGGAGCGAGGACUGUAUUGUGCUUUGAAGACAGAAACAAAGGCAGCCAGGGGGCCCCUAAGGAGAGAUGCAGUUUCUGUGGGUGAUAGAAUUAGGAGGAGGUUUGGUGGUUUGAGGGGCCUUUGUGCACUGAUCCCUGAUUCACUUAGGCAGCCGCAAUGCCAUUAAUUCGAAUUUUUAAUCAUUCUGA